rnacentral:rRNA from 1 species
UACGUAGGGGGCGAGCGUUGUCCGGAAUUAUUGGGCGUAAAGAGCGUGUAGGCGGUUCGGUAAGUCUGCCGUGAAAACCUGGGGCUCAACCCCGGGCGUGCGGUGGAUACUGCCGGGCUAGAGGGUGGUAGAGGCGAGUGGAAUUCCCGGUGUAGCGGUGAAAUGCGCAGAUAUCGUAAGGAAGACCAGUGGCGAAGGCGGGUCUCUGGACAGUUCCUGACGCUGAGGCACGAAGGUCAGGGGAGCAAACGGG